GAUGAACGCUGACAGCAUGCUUAACACAUCAGCAAUUGAUUGGUGGCGGACGGGUGAGUAACGCUUAAAGAACUUGCCCCCCAGCUAGGGACAACAUUCAGAAAUGAAUGCUAAUACCUGAUACUGUGAGAGAGCUUUGCGUCCCAUUAGCUAGUUGGAGAGGUAACAGCUCACCAAGGCGAUGAUGGGUAGCCGGCCUGAGAGGGUGAACGGCCACAAGGGGACUUAGACACGGCCCUUACUCCUACGGGAGGCAGCGGUGGGGAAUGUUGGACAAUGGACCGAAGUCUGAUCCAGCAAUUCUGUGUGCAAGAUGAAGUUUUCAGGAUGUAAAGUGCUUUCAGUUGAGAAGCGGUACCAACAGAAGAAGGGACGGCUAAAUACGUGCCAGCAGCCGCGGUAAUUC
rnacentral:rRNA from 1 species